rnacentral:lncRNA from 1 species
ACAUCUGGAAAGUGGCAGCAGCAAGUCAGGGAGAGAGAGGACAGCAACAGCGACAUCAAGGCGGGAAGCCUCAUCAGCGGUGAACAGAAACGUGUAGGCAUAAACGGAGAGCAUCAAACGGGUGAAGCAGUGGUGGAAAACGGAGUGCAAGCUGAAGAUGUAUUGAUUGAGGAAAACAGAGUGCAGCCUUGUUCGUACUUGGUGUCUCCUCAACAUUUUGGAGCAUUUGACAGUACUGCAUCUUUGUACUCUGGCUUUGACGAUGGCACCUGUACCUCUCCAAGUCAUCCUGCUUUGUCCCAGACUGUUGAUAGUACCUUAAAUACAACUUUGAAUAUUCCGGAUGUUCCAUGUCCUGCUGUAGUUGACUCUUCUGCAUCAUGUCAAUCAAAGGAUGACACCAGGCGUGACACUUUGACCAGACAAGCUACUGCUAUUAUGUUGACUGCAAGAGAAAAACACCAUAUUUCACAGCGAGGUGUGAAUGAUGUUUUGGCAGCAAUGCAGCAAUACCAAGCUCUGUUGGUGACUAAUCUAAGGAGUCAGCUACAAACUGUAUUCCAGCAACAUCAAGGAAAUGAACUUGAAAAGGAAGCGAUGGCAGUAUUUGACCGGAUUGAGGAUCCAUUUGCCUCUGUUGUGACAACAUAAAGGUGACCUGAUGAAGCUCAGGUGCUCCUGGACCCAUCAGAGGACAGAGACGGCUGCAGCAUCAGGACAGUCUGGGUAUCCAAAGGAAGACUGAUGAAGAUGAACACUGACUGCAGAGCUCCAUUACCAGCUCACACUUCAAUAUACUAGAAACCAUAAACCUUGAUGGAGAACAUGAUCUGCACAGCUUACAUAAAAGUUCUAGCUUUGUUACUUACAACAUGUGUAACUGGAAUAUGAAGUAACAUAAAUAAAGUGUUUUACUUUUAAAAAGAGUUUUGGUCAUUUUUAAAUUCAGUAAUAAGUGUGGUUUUAUAUAAAUAACAUGUUAUUUCAGGUUUUAUGAAGAUUUCCUGGAUGUACAAGAGUUGAAAACCUGAUUCGUGUAACAUCUAUCAAUAUGAAAAUGUGGAACUUAAACCUGUAUUAAUGACUGUAAGCAACACAAUACAUUACUGUCUCACAUUCAAACUUUAUUACAUUGGAAGAUAAAUUCAUAAUCAUAAUACAGUAUAUAAUAUAAAUGAUAGAAUAUUCAGUAUACAGUAUUUUUAAUGGGGUUCAAACAUAAUUGCAGCUUUUACACAUAUCUGAAGGUUAACUUUGGUAAUAAUACUUUUAAGUUAAAAUAUCAGACUAUGAAAUAUGGCUACAGUACCGUUAACAGUUGGUUACUUAGCUGUUUUUAAACCACAUAAACAAUUUACUUUAUUAGAUGAGUAAUUGCUUCAGUUAUGUUGACAUGUUGUACAGGAUAAAGUAUUCCAGGUUUCUGUUUCCAUGGUCUCAGUAAACUAAUGGUGUAUAAAGAAUAUAACAGAGGGGAGGUUACAGUAAUCAUUAUACUAUUACUCUGAUUACUUUGGUACAUUUACUGGGUGUUUCUUCACUAGAAACAACUGCUUGACUAAUGCUGUUAAUAUUAUGUAAUAUAUAAUAUGUUUAACUUCACUGGGCUGUGUAGAUUGUAGGUCACUGCUCACUGCUGUACCUGUAAAGACAAGCAUAAAACACAGUGUUGGUUCUCAUAGUUAAGGUAUAAACACUAACAUUAUGUGAUAGAUAGAGGUUAAUAUAUAUAUAUAAUAUAUAUAUAUAUAUAUAUAUAUAUAUUAGUUAUAUGUAUGUAUAUGUAGUUAAUAUAGCAGUAUUUACCUGAGGAAAACGUCACAGAAAGCUGUAAUCCUGAUUGUUGAAGUUGUUCAUUUCUCUGUGAUUUCAGGUCAGACUCCCGCUCUAACAUGUCCGCUGGUGAAGUUUUUGCUUUAGAAGCAGUUAUUGAAUUAAUAUUGACGGUAGAAAUGAAGCUAAUCUCAGUAGCAGUGAGGAGCCGGCAACGAAGGGGAGGGGCCGGAGCGUCAUCCGCGUGAGCCGCAUAAUCCGCGUCAUAAUGCCGUCCUAUCAGAGCAGACUGGGCUUUUCGGGAGGGGGGUCUUAAAGAGACAGGCGCUAAAACCUAGCGAUUCAGACAGAGGCUGAAAAGAGGUGCUCAGCUGUAGGCAGUAUGAGAAAAAUAAACAUAAACAUUAAAACAUCUAAACCUAUUGUAGGAGAGCCACAAAAUACAAUUAUGAACCUGAAAAAGGGCAUAAUAUGACUCCUUUAAUAUGUUAGAUAUGAAGCAGCAGGUUCUGCCAGGUUCAGAUGGCCUGAGAACACAUGACAAAUGAAAAUAAACAACCUUUAAUUUUAAGUUUCUUGGCACUCUUAAAUUGAGAAGUUGUGCAAGUGGUCUUACACUUAAAAUGAGGCAAAUAAUCUUGUUGCUCCACUGGGUUUUAUUGUAAAACAUUUGUAUACCCUGUUACUGGUUCAUUCUAGCUCAAAAGUAGCUGGAAUAAGUUAGCCGUACUUUCUUAAAAUUAGAUUAUUUUUCCAAUGCAAAACAUGCUUGACAAGAUUAAUUUUCUUUUUGAACAAAAAAUAAGACUUAUUUCCUUGAUACAAGGCUUUUUUACUUUCUUGAAAUUCCUUUUUUGCAGUGUGUAAGUAAACAGGGUCUGCAAACAGCUGGAAAGUUUUCAUUAGCAAAGUCAUAUUCAUCACCACUAAAUGAUGUGCUGACUAAUUUUCUUGUAAAAAGGCCCUGAACUGGCAGUGCUGUAAACCCUGAUCUGAUGUUAUUAAAACAUUUCAGGACAACAGACACAAUGAGGCCUUUUUAGACAAAAUAUCGGCAUUUCUCAACAUGCAGUCCACCACAAACUGCCCUUCAGUGAAUGGCUUUCCUGCUUUGGUGAUGAAUUCACUGAAGUUCAUCUUCGCCACCUUUCUUGCAUCAAAAACAGUUUUAUUUACUUUUUAACCCUUACAAACUGUUCAUAUCCAAUGCCUACACAGGAUGGUCUGGGUCAAAUUUGAC